CCAUCGGAUGGCGGAACUUCC
rnacentral:miRNA from 1 species